rnacentral:rRNA from 1 species
UACGGAGGAUGCGAGCGUUAUCCGGAUUUAUUGGGUUUAAAGGGUGCGUAGGCGGUCCGUUAAGUCAGCGGUAAAAUUGCGGGGCUCAACCCCGUCGAGCCGUUGAAACUGGCAGACUUGAGUUGGCGAGAAGUACGCGGAAUGCGCGGUGUAGCGGUGAAAUGCAUAGAUAUCACGCAGAACUCCGAUUGCGAAGGCAGCAUACCGGCGCCCUACUGACGCUGAGGCACGAAAGCGUGGGUAUCGAACAGG